AAUCCAUGCAUUGGACAUUUCUAAAUUAAGUCUUUAAAUCAUUCACAAGAUUCAUAUAAUGUUUCAUCGUUCAAUUGUUGAAAAGAUGUGAUGUCAUUUCUAAGCUU
rfam:Gossypium hirsutum cultivar TM-1 chromosome 23, whole genome shotgun sequence